rnacentral:miRNA from 1 species
AGAUAGCAUGUGCCGUCCUCUUU